CCACACAAAUACAAAAAUCUUAAUUCCAUCCAUAUCUUAAGGAAUAAAAAAUAUCUUUUAAGGGGUUUUGGUUCUGUGCUAAUGUUAUGUUUGCCUGUCAAAGGUUAAGGUGCUUGCUUUUAAUUAGUGGACAAAAAGCAAGACUAAAAAUAGACUGGAAUUAGAGAAAAAUCAAUAACUUUCUUACAAUCCGAAAAUUAGAACAAUGCUUUGACCUCUGUAAGAGCCUUCAGUGUUUCUAAAGAUGAGAUCAAUGCUUUUGAAAGAUCUGGUCUGGUGGGCUAGAUCGUUUAAACAAAUAUAGUGAAAGAAUAAACUGGACUUUUACCUGAGGUAGGAUCUGGUUUUUUAGUUCAUCAUGGGAAAAGAACUCUGCGUAAAUGUCGAUGUGAGCCAAGAGCACAACCCGAAUAUGCUCUUCUUUCACUUUAUAGAGUUUAAGCAGCAGAGGAAUCACAUGUUUCCGGUGAAGGGACACAGACAACAGGCAGCUCUCACCACUGUCACCACAGCUGGACUCUGUGCACACAGAUGAGGGAGGAAGCUCUUGACGGCCAUGGGUUCAGCAAAAACAAGAGAAUGGAGAAGUUUGGGAACUAGACGUGAAGCUAUCAGCUCUUCGGAAAGGUUCUGGACACGGUCGAGGAGAAACCUAACAUUAAAACAGAAAAUGUCAAACUACUAAGUAGAGUCAAGUGUUCAAAUUUGCAAUGCCUUGUUUAACUUAUUCAAACUUAUUGACAAUGGUGAAAUUACAACAACAAACCUGAAGACAUUUUACAGGGUUUUAAGUGAUGAAGGAAGAUUGAACAUAAUAAAAAUAUGGUCUUUAUUUUUAUACCACUAAAAUAAAAUUCACUAUCCUUAGAAAUAAACAAACACUAGAGUCCACCAGAGUAUAAUUUAUCCUCAGUGCAAAUGUGGUUCUGUGAAGGAGUCGCAAAUGGAGAACCCUGAUAGGUCAGGGAUGGAGCUUUGGAGAAGUUAAAAACUGAGACAAGAAGAAAGCCAAUUUGAAAAGAAAAGAAAAAAACAAAC